rnacentral:rRNA from 1 species
AGGACGAACGCUGGCGGCGUGCUUAACACAUGCAAGUCGAGCGGUAAGGCCUUUCGGGGUACACGAGCGGCGAACGGGUGAGUAACACGUGGGUGAUCUGCCCCGCACUCUGGGAUAAGCCUGGGAAACUGGGUCUAAUACCGGAUAUGACCUGCUCUCGCAUGGGGGUGGGUGGAAAGAUUUAUCGGUGCAGGAUGGGCCCGCGGCCUAUCAGCUUGGUUGGUGGGGUAAUGGCCUACCAAGGCGACGACGGGUAGCCGACCUGAGAGGGUGACCGGCCACACUGGGACUGAGACACGGCCCACGACUCCGUACGGGAGGCAGGCAGGUGGGGAAUAGUUGCAACGAAUGGGACGAAAGCCUGAUGCAGCGACGCCGCGUGAGGAUGAACGGCCGUUACGGGUUAGUUAAACCCUUCUUUACAAGGCGAAGGACGAAGGCGACGAAGGUGACGGUACCUAGACCAAGGAACGAAAGCGAACCCGGACUAACGUACGU